rnacentral:lncRNA from 1 species
AGACCCCUCUAUUUAUAGGAAGAGAAAUGAGUUAGCCUCAAAGUAAAACUCUUCUAUAAGAUAGACAUUCACUCUAAUUAGAGUUCUAUUUAUAACAGCUGAUAAAAUCUUGAAUACAGAACUAUAAAGCUUAUCCACUCAACAUGGUAUACAGGGGAAAUUUUGUAGAAAGAAAAGGAAACAAAAAGACAUAAACAUCCUAAUACAUCGACAACUAAUCAAAGUCUAAACAAACACAGUAAAAAACAAUGUCAGAUAGGCCAAAGGUUCAGAAGGAGACGAGUCAGGGAUUCAGAAUGACGUUGUUGUACUAGCUUUUUACGCGAUAAGCACUGGGUUGUUAAGUACAAGGAAAGCGGCUAGAUAUUCAUUGUGGUUUCUGUGGCAGCUUGCAGCACCGCGAUGGUGAUUGUGGUGAGGCGUAAAUUGGUAUGACAUUCGGCGAUCCCUGAUUCGAAGGAGAUCCAGAUUCUUCCCCUCCAUUUCCUCCUUUACCACCUAAAUGAGCCCAUAUUUGCUGUUAUCAUCUAUUUCUGUAUUUUCAUCAACAUUAUGAUUAUUAAGUUGUUCUGCUACUACUUCUUUGCUAUCUGCAAAAUAGAAGAUUUUUAUGAAUUAAGGAUUCUGUAGUACACAUUAAUUAUCAGAUGCACAAUUUGCAGAUAACCAUCAGUUUAAAAUUGAAAUCCUCAAAUGCCAUCAAAUUGGUUUUUGCUACCUGCAGAAUAUAAUUUUCCAGUGAAGGAAUUCAAUUGAACUCCCUUCCUUACCUUUAACACCCCCCCUCCCCCAACCACAGGAAGGUGACAAUUGGUUUAGGAUAUGGUUAUACAUCACAACAAUAUAAUUCAACAACACCUUCUACCAAUUCUUUUUCUUGAUUACUCUCCGAAGAAUUCUUUUUCGGGAGUCUUG